UACAGAGGUGGCAAGCGUUGUUCGGAAUUACUGGGCGUAAAGGGCGCGUAGGCGGCCUUCUAAGUCAGACGUGAAAUCCCUCGGCUUAACCGGGGAACUGCGUCUGAUACUGGAUGGCUUGAGUUCGGGAGAGGGAUGUGGAAUUCCAGGUGUAGCGGUGAAAUGCGUAGAUAUCUGGAGGAACACCGGUGGCGAAGGCGGCAUCCUGGACCGACACUGACGCUGAUGAGCGAAAGCCAGGGGAGCAAACGGG
rnacentral:rRNA from 1 species